UGGGGAAUAUUGCACAAUGGGCGAAAGCCUGAUGCAGCCAUGCCGCGUGUGUGAAGAAGGCCUUAGGGUUGUAAAGCACUUUCAGCGAGGAGGAAAGGUCAGUAGCUAAUAAUUGCUGGCUGUGACGUUACUCGCAGAAGAAGCACCGGCUAAUUUAGUGCCAGCAGCCGCGGUAAUACUAAAGGUGCAAGCGUUAAUCGGAAUUACUGGGCGUAAAGCGCGCGUAGGUGGUUUGUCAAGUUGGAUGUGAAAGCCCAGGGCUCAACCUUGGAACAGCAUCCAAAACUGGCUCGCUAGAGUACGAGAGAGGUUAGUGGAAUUUCCUGUGUAGCGGUGAAAUGCGUAGAGAUGGGAAGGAACACCAGUGGCGAAGGCGACUGACUGGCUCGAUACUGACACUGAGGUGCGAAAGCGUGGGGAGCAAACG
rnacentral:rRNA from 1 species